rnacentral:rRNA from 1 species
GAUGAACGCUGGCGGCGUGCCUAAUACAUGCAAGUCGAGCGAACGGACGAGAAGCUUGCUUCUCUGAUGUUAGCGGCGGACGGGUGAGUAACACGUGGAUAACCUACCUAUAAGACUGGGAUAACUUCGGGAAACCGUAGCUAAUACCGGAUAAUAUUUUGAACCGCAUGGUUCAAAAGUGAAAGACGGUCUUGCUGUCACUUAUAGAUGGAUCCGCGCUGCAUUAGCUAGUUGGUAAGGUAACGGCUUACCAAGGCAACGAUGCAUAGCCGACCUGAGAGAGUGAUCGGCCACACUGGAACUGAGACACGGUCCAGACUCCUACGGGAGGCAGCAGUAGGGUAUCUUCCGCAAUGGGCGAAAGCCUGACGGAGCAACGCCGCGUGAGUGAUGAAGGUCUUCGGAUCGUAAAACUCUGUUAUGAGGGAAGAACAUAUGUGUAAGUAACUGUGCACAUCUUGACGGUACCUAAUCAGAAAGCCACGGCUAACUACGUG